rnacentral:rRNA from 1 species
CAGCGGAGGGAUCAUUACAGAGUUGCAAACUCCCUAAACCAUUGUGAACGUUACCUAAACCGUUGCUUCGGCGGGCGGCCCGGGUCCUUCCCGGCGCCCAUCGGCCCUCGCGGGCGCCCGCCGGAGGUAAACCAAACUAUUGCAUUGUAUGGCCUCUCUGAGUCUUCUGUACUGAAUAAGUCAAAACUUUCAACAACGGAUCUCUUGGUUCUGGCAUCGAUGAAGAACGCAGCGAAAUGCGAUAAGUAAUGUGAAUUGCAGAAUUCAGUGAAUCAUCGAAUCUUUGAACGCACAUUGCGCACGCCAGUAUUCUGGCGGGCAUGCCUGUUCGAGCGUCAUUUCAACCAUCAAGCCCCGGGCUUGUGUUGGGGACCUGCGGCUGCCGCAGGCCCUGAAAUGCAGUGGCGGGCUCGCUGUCAUUCCGAGCGUAGUAGUUACAUCUCGCUCUGGGCGUGCUGCGGGUUCCGGCCGUUAAAAGCCUUAUUUACCCAAGGUUGACCUCGGAUCAGGUAGGA